CCGCGUGUGUGAAGAAGGCCUUCGGGUUGUAAAGCACUUUCAGUUGUGAGGAAAAGUUAGUAGUUAAUACCUGCUAGCCGUGACGUUAACAACAGAAGAAGCACCGGCUAACUCCGUGCCAGCAGCCGCGGUAAUACGGAGGGUGCGAGCGUUAAUCGGAAUUACUGGGCGUAAAGCGCACGCAGGCGGUUUGUUAAGCUAGAUGUGAAAGCCCCGGGCUCAACCUGGGAUGGUCAUUUAGAACUGGCAGACUAGAGUCUUGGAGAGGGGAGUGGAAUUCCAGGUGUAGCGGUGAAAUGCGUAGAUAUCUGGAGGAACAUCAGUGGCGAAGGCGACUCCCUGGCCAAAGACUGACGCUCAUGUGCGAAAGUGUGGGUAGCGAACAGGAUUAGAUACCCUGGUAGUCCACACCGUAAACGCUGUCUACUAGCUGUGUGUGCCUUUAAGGCGUGAGUAGCGAACCUAACGCGCUAAGUAGACCGCCUGGGGAGUACGGCCGCAAGGUUAAAA
rnacentral:rRNA from 1 species